CCUACGGGUGGCAGCAGUGGGGAAUAUUGGGCAAUGGGCGCAAGCCUGCCCCAGCAAUGCCGCGUGAAGGAAGAAGGCUUUCGGGUUGUAAACUUCUUUUUUCAGGGACGAAGAAAGUGACGGUACCUGAGGAAUAAGCCACGGCUAACUACGUGCCAGCAGCCGCGGUAAUACGUAGGUGGCAAGCGUUAUCCGGAUUUACUGGGUGUAAAGGGCGUGUAGGCGGGAAAGGAAGUCAGAUGUGAAAACCCUGGGCUCAACCUGGGGCCUGCAUUUGAAACUGUUUGUCUUGAGUGCUGGAGAGGCAGGCGGAAUUCCUCGUGUAGCGGUGCAAUGCGUAGAUAUGAGGAGGAACACCAGUGGCGAAGGCGGUCUGCUAGACAGCAACUGACGCUGAGGCGCGAAAGCGUGGGGAGCAAACAGGAUUAGAUACCCUGGUAGUC
rnacentral:rRNA from 1 species